UUUUUUUAGUAAUUCUAUACCAUUUUUAUAUGUAGUUACAGUCUGUGUAGCUUAAUUCUUUUAUUUGACUAUGUAUAGAUAUGUAUGGAAAGGACUACGCCGCAGCCUCUUCUUCGCGGAUUCUCAACACUAGUGAUGAAGCCGUAGAACCAUCGUCACGUCAUGACGGUCACAACACCUUGGGCACAUACAAGGAUGGGCAGGACAACUGCACAUCCACUGGUCAUGAUGAGUCCGGCACCGCCACAAAUCCUGAAGCCGCGGCCGAUCGCGACGAAGGGACCGACCAAGGGGACCAGGCAGCUGGACAACACAAAAGGCAACGCAAGCCUAGGCGCCGAAACAUGCUCGGCACCGAUAGGAUUGUUAUCAACCGAGUGUCUGAGGCGGGUCUACCUGUUAGUCCCAAGAAGGCCAAACAAGGUUACAGGAAUGCACUAGGCUGCAUCCUUCGCGAAACCGUGAGCAUUAAUGAAACCAAUCUCAGGUCGAAAGCGAACGGGAAUUUGCGAGCGCUCCUCAUAUCGAAGCUGCACACUCAUUACAAGUUCCCGGAUGUAUCCCUCAACGAGACCACUCUGGUAAACAACAGAGCCCUCUGCAAGUGGUCCAAGCUUUUGAGUAGUUGGAAAUCCAAGGCCAAAAACGAAUACCUUAAGAAAGAUUAUGAAACUGAGAUAAAAAAGAUGUGGCCUUCGGUUUCCGAGGAGGACUGGAACCUGUUCAAGCAGCACUGCGAGACCCCUGAAGUCAAGGAGAUGGAAAAAUGGGGAAAGGAUAUGCGGGCUAAGAACAUUGGUAACCACACCCUUGGAAGCCGUGGUUACCCAGGAAAGAAGCCGAAGUGGGACAAGCAGGACACUGAAUUCACUGCAGCAGGCGACUAUCCUGUCAUGGUGUUGGAGACGAGGAGUAGGAGGGCACACGCAUCGGAGACCGCGUUGCCGUCGCCGCAGCGCCCUCAACUCACGCACGCUGGAAGCAGGGGGAAUGCGCCGACCAGUGGCCGCUCCGGUAAGUACAAGACUCUCUAGUUCCACAUCGGUAGUAAUCGCCGAGUAGAUUAACUAAGACUUGUAGCUGCACAGUAAUAGGGUUACAUGGGCUGGAACAGGGGGGAGUAAUAAGGAGAUCUGUUUCUCUCCUACUUCAGCGACACUUUUUUGAUUCGUUUUUUAAGCUGGAAACCCAGUUCACGUGUAUGAUAUAUCCUUCUUGUUUUUAGACGACCCAGGUGAUUUACCAAUCUUUUCCAGAAAAUCCAGUCUCUUACAGUUAGAUUGUCUAGUUUGUGAUUAGGUCCCACUGCUUGAAGCUGUAGAUAGUUCUUUGAAUAAUGGUAUGAAUAACCCAAAAGCAAUCCAAUCCCAUAAAAGGGACAUUUUUAUACAUGGUUGGAACUUCUGAUGCGUAUAGUAAAGUAUCGAAGAGGUAUUGAGGAAGUUACAUAUUCUCUGGCAGUGUGGUUAGUGGUGCUUAUAGCAUCAAGGAGGGAUCAUAUGUAUGAAUAUGUAGUGGUAUUUAUAUCAUUAAGUCAAGCCCUUGUGUCAGACAGAAUUUGCUGGGCAUGUAAGGUCGACUGGUCUGUGCUUUUUGUAAGUGAUAGUGAUCCCGAGUCGGUUGAAAACGUGGACUCUAGAUUUUCUGUAAGCUGUCAAAUUUUCAUGAUAUAUAUUCAGAAGUAUAUGUUCUACUGAAAUGCCCAAUUGAUGGUGUUUCUACAGGUCAGGUUAAUGAGGAUGUCGAGAGCAGAUUCCAGCAUUUGGCAAGUUCAGUACAAAAUGAUGUUAUGCAGUUAAAGGCGACGACCAGAGAGGACGAGGGAGGCACGCACACCCAAGACGUCGUUGCCGUCGUUCCACGGAUGACGAGGAAGAGGGCAAGGGAGGCAUGCGCAUCGGAGACUGCGUUGCCAUCGUUGCAGCACACUCGACUCACGCGUAAUGGGAGCAAGGGGGAGGCGCCGACCAGUGGUUGCUCCGGUAAGUGGAAGACUGUAUUAGCACCAUAAAUCUUUUUAGUCCCACAUUGCAUUGGUAGUAGUAAACACCAAAUUGAUUACCUAGAGACCUGUAGCUGUACAGUGAUAGAGGUGUAGGCAUAAAUGUCUACGGUUACAGAGUGAAAAAACCCGAACUCACAUGUAUAUAUAUAUAUAUAUCCUUCUGAUUUUAAGAUGACCCAAGUGAUUUAACACUCUUCCAGAAAAUAUCUUACAAUUAGAUUCUCUAGUUUGUGAUUAGGUCCCACUGCUUGAAGCUCUAGACAAAUAUUUGGAUAAAGCUGUCAAAUUUUCAUGAUAUUCAGAAGUAUAUGUUCUGGUGAAAUGAAAUGCCCAAUUGAUGGUGUUUCGACAGAUCAGGUUAAUAAGGAUGUCGAGAGCAGAUUCCGGCAUUUGGCAAGUUCAGUACAAAAUGAUGUUAUGCAGUUAGAGGCAGCGACUGGAGAGGACGGGGGAGGCGCGCGCAUCCAAGACCUCGUUACCAUUGUUACACGGAUGACGAGGAGGGCGGCGAGGGAGGCAUGCGCAUCAGAGACCGCAUUGGUGUCAUUGCAACGUAUUCGACUCACACGCGGCGGAAGCAGGGGGGAGGCGCCGACCAGUGGCCGCUCCGGUAAAUGGAAGACUGUACUACCAUCGUAAAACUUUUUAGUCCCGCAUCACAUUGGUAGUAGUAAUCACUAAAUAGAUUACCUAGAGACCUGUAGCUGUACAGUGGUAGAGGUAUAGGCAUAGAUAUCUAGGGUUACAGGGUGACAAAAAACCAACUCACAUGGAGGCAUCACUGGAUCGCAAGUCCCCCCUAAUUCGUACUUUUGGUGAAAAGGGCCAUCAUAACUGGUGCUAGUUAUUUCCCCAGGAGUUAUCCAGAAGAUAUCUUACAAUGGGAUUAUCUAGUUCGUGAUUAGGUCCGACUGCUUGAAGCUAUAGAUAAAUCUUCAACUAAUGAUAUGGACAUGACAAGUCUUAGUAGCCUACUACUGAAACUAGAUGAAAUAACAUCCUUAUAGCCCAAAGCCCAACUAAUUGCUAGCUGUCCCAGCUGCGACACCUGCAAAGGAUUAUAUGGUUGGGUAAGCAAUUGAUAACCCAAGGACAAUCCAAUCCGAUAACAGGGGAAUUUUUAGUUCUAGUUCCUAGCAAAUAUUUAGUUCCUAGAAAUUUUCAGUAAUUAUGGAUUUGAUAGAUAUUUUUUUAGUAAUUCUAUAGCAUUUCUAUAUGUAGUUACAUUUUGUGCUUAAUUAUUUUAUUUAACAAUUUACAGAUAUGUCUGGAAACGACUCCGACGCAGCCUCUUCUUCACGGACGAUAAGCGCGGGCGAUGAAGCUGUAGAACCGUCACCACGUCAUGGCGAUCCCGACGCUUUGGGCACAUUCAUGGAUGGGCAGGACGACUACACAUCCACUGUUCAUGAUGAGUCAGGCACCGCCACAAAUCCUGCAGAUGCGACCGAUCGUGACGAAGGGACCGGCCAAGGGGACCAGGAAGCUGGACAACCUAAAAAGCAACGCAAACCUAGGCGCCGAAACAUGCUUGGCACCAAUAGGAUUGUUAUCAACCGAGUGUCUGAGGCGGGUCUACCUCUUAGUCCCAAGAAGGCCGAACGAGGUUACAGUAAUGGCCUAGGCUGCAUCCUUCGUGAAACCGUGAGCAUUAAUGAAACCAAUCUCAGGUCGAAAGCCAACGAGAAUCUGCGAGCACUCCUCAUAUCGAAGUUGCACACUCAUUACAAGUUCCCGGAUGAGUCCCUAGACGAGACUACUCCGGUAAAUAACAGAGCCCUCUGCAAGUGGUCCAAGGUUUUGAGUACAUGGAAAUCCAAAGCCAAAAGCGAAUACCUUGAGAAAGAUUACAUAACUGAGAUAAAAAAGAAGUGGCCUUCGGUUUCUGAGGAGGACUGGAACCUGUUCAAGCAGCACUGCAAGACCCCUGAAGUCAAGGAGAUGGAAAAAUGGGGGAAGGAUAUGCGGGCAAGGAACAUUGGCAACCACACCCUUGGAAGCCGUGGUUACCCAGGGAAGAAGCCAAAGUGGGACAAGCAGGAUGCUGAGUUUGCUGCAGCAGGCAUACCAAACCCCUUCAAGGAAUUUGAAAACCCGCGUGAAAAUGAUUACAUCAGGAGCCGGUGCAAAUAUGAUGAAGAGACUAAGACAUGGGUCUUGGACGAGAAAACGAUGAAAGUCAAGGAACUCCUGGUAAUUGAUUAACCUGCUUAUUUUUUGUUAUGCU
rnacentral:lncRNA from 1 species